AGAUGGGCCAAGAAGAUUGAAGCCAGAGAAAAGAAAGCCAAGAUGACAGAUUUUGAUCGUUACAAAGUGAUGAAGGCAAAGAAAAUGAGGAACCGAAUAAUCAAGCUUGAAGUUAAGAAGCUUCAAAAGGCAGCUCUUCUGAAAGCUUCUCCC